UGCAAGUCGAGCGGCAGCGGGAAAGUAGCUUGCUACUUUUGCCGGCGAGCGGCGGACGGGUGAGUAAUGCCUGGGGAUCUGCCCAGUCGAGGGGGAUAACUACUGGAAACGGUAGCUAAUACCGCAUACGCCCUACGGGGGAAAGCAGGGGACCUUCGGGCCUUGCGCGAUUGGAUGAACCCAGGUGGGAUUAGCUAGUUGGUGAGGUAAUGGCUCACCAAGGCGACGAUCCCUAGCUGGUCUGAGAGGAUGAUCAGCCACACUGGAACUGAGACACGGUCCAGACUCCUACGGGAGGCAGCAGUGGGGAAUAUUGCACAAUGGGGGAAACCCUGAUGCAGCCAUGCCGCGUGUGUGAAGAAGGCCUUCGGGUUGUAAAGCACUUUCAGCGAGGAGGAAAGGUUGGUAGCUAAUAACUGCCAGCUGUGACGU
rnacentral:rRNA from 1 species